AACCCACAUCAGAUUUGUGGGUUGUGCUGCUGCAUAAUGUUAGAGGUGUAAUUUUCCCUCCCUGCCACUAGGAGGCGAGUAUGCCUUGAGAUGACUUUCUGUUAGUCAACAUUUCCUGUUGUGAAAGCCAUUACUCACGAGGCAACCGCCAAAUUAGCUGAAAGAUCCUGGAUCUGAAAUCUGUGAAAUACGGCCGUGGGAAGCUGCGUCAGCCAGGCGAGCUAUCUCACCACGAGCUCCGAUUGGUUUUUGACCAGGACCGGAUCAAUUGAGAUCUGAACCCUGUGGGUUCAGUGG